ACGGAUGUAGCUCAACUGGUAGAGCAGCGGUCUCCAAAACCGCCGGUUGGGGGUUCAAGUCCCUCCGUCCGUGCCA
rnacentral:tRNA from 1 species